rnacentral:rRNA from 1 species
GACGUAGGGCGCGAGCGUUGUCCGGAUUUAUUGGGCGUAAAGAGCUCGUAGGCGGCUCGUCGCGUCGACCGUGAAAACCCGCGGCUUAACUGCGGGCUUGCGGUUGAUACGGGCGGGCUAGAGUUCGGUAGGGGAGACUGGAAUUCCUGGUGUAGCGGUGAAAUGCGCAGAUAUCAGGAGGAACACCGGUGGCGAAGGCGGCUCUCUAGUACGGUACUGACGCUGAGACGCGAAAGCGUGGGGAGCGAACAGG